GCCGCCAGCACUCGGUCCGCGGCGGGCGUC
rnacentral:antisense_RNA from 1 species